rnacentral:rRNA from 1 species
CCUACGGGAGGCAGCAGUGGGGAAUAUUGGGCAAUGGACGCAAGUCUGACCCAGCAACGCCGCGUGAAGGAAGAAGGCUUUCGGGUUGUAAACUUCUUUUAAGGGGGAAGAGCAGAAGACGGUACCCCUUGAAUAAGCCACGGCUAACUACGUGCCAGCAGCCGCGGUAAUACGUAGGUGGCAAGCGUUGUCCGGAUUUACUGGGUGUAAAGGGCGUGCAGCCGGGAAGACAAGUCAGAUGUGAAAUCCCGCGGCUCAACCGCGGAACUGCAUUUGAAACUGUUUUUCUUGAGUACCGGAGAGGUCAUCGGAAUUCCUUGUGUAGCGGUGAAAUGCGUAGAUAUAAGGAAGAACACCAGUGGCGAAGGCGGCUUACUGGACUGUAACUGACGUUGAGGCUCGAAAGCGUGGGGAGCAAACAGGAUUAGAUACCCCUGUAGUC